GUGAAUCAUCGAAUUUUUGAACGCAAAUUGCACUUUCCUCGGAGAGGAUGACUGUUCGAGGGUCAGCCUAUAAAAAAUCAACAUAGUGGCUGUUUCGCGGUUGCGUUCGUCGGAAAUUGGUUUAUCUUAAAUCAUUUUGGGUUUUAAGCGACUUAAAAUUGACUUUUUUUUCGCAUGUACGUUCCUACGUUUUAUUUCUUUAAAUGGUCAAGUUAUC
rnacentral:misc_RNA from 1 species